GUAAUGGCCUACCAAGACUUUGAUCAAUAGCUGAUCUGAGAGGAUGAUCAGCCACAUUGGGACUGAGACACGGCCCAAACUCCUACGGGAGGCAGCAGUAGGGAAUAUUGCACAAUGGAGGAAACUCUGAUGCAGCGAUGCCGCGUGAGUGAAGAAGGCCUUUGGGUUGUAAAGCUCUUUCGUCGGGGAAGAAAAUGACGGUACCCGAAUAAGAAGGUCCGGCUAACUUCGUGCCAGCAGCCGCGGUAAUACGAAGGGACCUAGCGUAGUUCGGAAUUACUGGGCUUAAAGAGUUCGUAGGUGGUUAAAAAAGUUGGUUGUGAAAUCCCGAAGCUUAACUUCGGAACUGCAAUCAAAACUUUUUAGCUAGAGUAUGAUAGAGGAAAGCAGAAUUUCUAGUGUAGAGGUGAAGUUCGUAGAUAUUAGAAAGAAUACCAAUUGCGAAGGCAGCUUUCUGGAUCAUUACUGACGCUGAGGAACGAAAGCAUGGGUAGCGAAGAGGAUUAGAUACCCUCGUAGUCCAUGCCGUAAACGAUGUGUGUUAGACGUUGGAAAUUUAUUUUCAGUGUCGCAGCGAAAGCAGUAAACACACCGCCUGGGGAGUACGACCGCAAGGUUAAAACUCAAAUGAAUUGACGGGGACCCGCACAAGUAGUGGAGCAUGUGGUUUAAUUCGAAGAUACGCGCAGAACCUUACCAACACUUGACAUGUUCGUCGCGGCUCUAGAGAUAGAGCUUUCGGUUCGGCCGGACGAAACACAGG
rnacentral:rRNA from 1 species